GUCCAAGAGGUUGGGCCCACGGCCAGCAAUCGUGCAACAUUUGGAUUCGUUUCGGUAUCGGGGCUAACAGUUGCCGCAGGAACCAACAUCACAGAAUGCAGAUCUGUAAAUUCUCAAUUGGAUCCGUACAGAUCGUGUUGCAUCUGCUUCAGCUGCGCGCACUUCAAAUCCCAAAUGGAAAGUAAUCAUUGAUUAACUGAUUUCACCCAACCACCGCUCGGCACAUAACACCUCCAACAUUUUCGGCAUAUUUGGCACCGCACAUCUAAACAUCAUCCAGCACCACCGGCAAAACAGCACCUUAAGAUGAACCUGAACCACUGUCGGCGGCAAUUGGCACUUGAUUGUUAGCCAGGGCCAAUUCGCAUUUUGGCACUCAUCACAAGGCAUUGAAUCGCACGGACCCGUUGGAAGACCCCCCAAAAUCAUUCUCGGCCCUUGUACAAAAUUUACAUUUGUGAUUAAGUUUAGGUGUAACCAAUAAAUAAAAAGAAAACUACAAUAGGCUACCAA